AGUAACUGCGAGUGAAGUGGCAAAAGCUCAAAUUUGAAAUCCGGUACCUUUGGUGCCUGAGUUGUAAUUUGGAGAGACAAAUUUGGUUGACGGUGCCGGCCUAGGUUCCUUUGAACAGGACAACACAGAGGGUGAGAAUCCCGUGCCUGGCUGGCUGACCGUCACAUCUCUAAAUUGUCUUCGACGAGUCGAGUUGUUUGGGAAUGCAGCUCAAAAUGGGUGGUAAAUGUCAUCUAAAGCUAAAUAUUGGCGAGAGACCGAUAGCGCACAAGUAGAGUGAUCGAAAGAUGAAAAGCACUUUGAAAAGAGAGUCAAAAAGUACGUGAAAUUGCUGAAAGGGAAGCGCUUGAGACCAGACUCGAACCGUGGUGAUCAGCCGUGCUUCUGUGCGGUGUCACUUGCCACGGUUUGGGCCAGCAUCGGUUCUGGCGGUCGGAUAAAAGGUGGAGGAAUGUAGCUUCCUUCGGGGAG
rnacentral:rRNA from 1 species